UACGUAGGUGGCAAGCGUUGUUCGGAAUUACUGGGCGUAAAGCGCGCGUGGGCGGCUCUUCAAGUCAGGCGUGAAAGCCCCGGGCUUAACUCGGGAACUGCGCUUGAUACUGUCGAGCUAGAGUGUGGAAGGGGCGAUUGGAAUUCCGUGUGUAGCGGUGAAAUGCGUAGAUAUACGGAGGAACACCAGAGGCGAAGGCGGAUCGCUGGGCCAACACUGACGCUGAUGUGCGAAAGCUAGGGGAGCAAACGGG
rnacentral:rRNA from 1 species